rnacentral:rRNA from 1 species
GUGUCAGCCGCCGCGGUAAUACGGAGGGUGCAAGCGUUGUCCGGAUUUAUUGGGUUUAAAGGGUGCGUAGGUGGAACUGUAAGUCUGAUUUGAAAGCAAGCGGCUUAACCGUUUGAUGUGGUUGGAAACUGUGGUUCUUGAAUGGGUUGGCGGUAGCCGGAAUGGGUCAUGUAGCGGUGAAAUGCAUAGAUAUGACCCGGAACACCGAUUGCGAAGGCAGGCUACUACGACUUGAUUGACACUGAGGCACGAGAGCAUGGGUAGCGAACAGGAUUAGAUACCCCCGUAGUCC